UCUAAAGUUUGACCAUUCGUCUUAUUUGAAAUUUUUUUACGAUUAAUAUUUUUAUUAUUACUAGAUGAUAAAAUAUGAAUAGUACUUUAUACGUGACUAAUUAUUUUAGGUUUUUUCACAAAUUUUUCAAAUAAGACGAAUGGUCAAACGUUGGACAUGAAAAAAC
rnacentral:pre_miRNA from 1 species